UACGUAGGGUGCGAGCGUUAAUCGGAAUUACUGGGCGUAAAGCGUGCGCAGGCGGUUUUGUAAGCCAGAUGUGAAAGCCCCGGGCUCAACCUGGGAAUUGCAUUUGAGACUGAAUAGCUAGGGUGCGGAAGAGGGAAGCGGAAUUUCCGGUGUAGCGGUGAAAUGCGUAGAUAUCGGAAGGAACACCAGUGGCGAAAGCGGCUCCUGGUCCAGCACCGACGUUCAGGCACGAAAGCGUGGGGAGCAAACAGGGAUUAGAC
rnacentral:rRNA from 1 species